AUGCUCAUUUUUCCACAGUUGCUCCUGUUUCAAUUGCACGCUGGAUCGUCAAGACCGUCAAAAGACGUGCAGAGGAAGGACUCAAACUUAAAUCAAUUUGUCACUAAUGAGGGUCGAUUCCAGAUCAACAUCGAUAACAUAGAAUACGACGCGGCCGAUGUAGAGCCUUCAUCGGACGAUCCAGAGAACCUCGCCACGCGGUCUUUCAAUAUCUUCAAGUGCUUCUCGGUGGGGAGGAAAAGGAGAAGUUCAAGGAUUCGAAGAGCAGCCAGUGAAGUCUCCGCGCGUUUGGCGGAGGUGAGCAGAAGUGUCGAGGGCUUGGAGGAGGGAACAUCUACCGUCCGGCAUACUUUGGAGAGCAUCCGGUCAUCAUCUGGCAGCAGCCGUGGUCCAGGGGCGCACUCCGCGGGAAGCAGCAUCCGGUCAACAGCCGGUAGCAAUCACGGUGAUUGGACGAACUCGCGAUCCACCCAGAGGGGGUAUCGGGAAUCCUACCGUACUGGGUCGCGAUCACCACCCCCGGCCCCGGGUCUGUCACCAGGGGGCUCGCGUCGUCUGCACCCAGACAAGUAAUGGCUCAGUUCAAUGGAGAUGUUGCAUGUGUGAGGAAUUUGCGAUUUGACUAUUAAUCCUUAAGUAAAAGUUCGCGAGAAACACGAUGGUGCCACUGGUUUUCUCUGAGAUCAACUCCCAAGCUCAAAAAAAGCUCUCAAGUUGAAGCCAAAAUGGAGGAGGUAUCCCACGCUAUCCUGAGAGUCCACCUCUACAUCAAGACAAACUCUCCAUGCAAAGAUAGGGAGCAAGUACAUUGGCAGGGUUGCCAUUUUUUCAUUUUUGGAGUCCCCAAAUAAACUGGCAGCCCUGUCAAUGUAAUUUCCUUUCGGCCCAGCAUGCAAUCUGAUGUGGUACGGUGAAAAAACACAAUUUUUUGUGGAUUUCCGACUUCGGACCCAAUUUUGGGCCCCCAUUCGCAAGUGGAAACGUGUUUGUAACGCCGAAAGCCGGAUAUGACGGUGAAAUAUACGUCAUCAACUGCAAAAUAUUCACAAAUCUCAGGACUUCGAGAGUGGGCAGGUUUUGGCCUUUAUCACAUCCCCACCUUUUGGAAAGGGACCAUCUCCAAAAAGAACUAUGAGUACAGUAAAGUAUUAAAUGUCUAAGAGGAAUUUUUCCUCGCCAGGAUUUCAUGCAGAACACGUUUAAAAUGGUGCACGGACUUUAUGUCCACUUUUUUACGUCCACAGUUCUAAAGUCCACACUAUUGUUAAGUCCAUUACUUAAACGACCACUAAGUUAAGUCCACAAAUGUAAAGUCCACUAAAAUCAAAUUCAAUCGUCUUAUUUUAGUCCGUGUGUAAAAUUAUAUUGACAAUAUCGAAAUGAGAAAAUUAAGAGAGAAUGAGGUGUUGUAAUCGUAACUCAUAUUUUAAAUGAAAUGUUAAUUUCUUCUUUUGAUUCAUCUUUUCAAAUUGUCUUUGGUAAAUACUUGGUUUCAUUUCUAUCCUUGCAAUUUCCGAUAUAAUAUAUGCCUUAAAUGUACAUUCUUUUUUUUUAAUGAAAUUGAUUAUUUCAUUUUAAAAACAUUUACAUUUUUAAAACGUGGUAAAUAUUCGUAAAACCUUUUCCUAGCAAUGGCGUCGAUAUGAAUCUCAAUGAGCCGUAGUUGUGAUGAAAGAAACUGUACAAAAAUUAAUAGAAGAGGAAAAAAACUAAGAAGCUCGCAUUUUUUUGUUUUUAACUUAUUUGUACAUCGACCUUUUUUAGUCAAAUACGUCCUUGCGCUUACACCACGCUGCAGCGCAGCAAAAGCCCAAAACAUAAAAGAAUAAAUUUGAAUGCUUUGAAAAUCAUUAAAUUUGACACGGAACCACUGUUAUAUUUACAAAAAACACAUUAUAUUUUCCAGUAGUACAUAUUUCUUUUUCAUCAGUUUAAAAGGGAAUAAUCAAUGCAGAGAGUGCAAACAUUUCAAAAUCAUGAGUUGAAAAACGCUGACUCCGCGAGUUUAAAUAUUAGAGCGUAACACAGGGCGAAGCGGCGUGUUAGCAGCGCAGAACGCGCACUGGCGCCUACAAACCUAACGGGAUACUUCACGCAUUGCGCAACGCGUGAAGUAUCCCGUUAGGUUUGUAGGCGCCUAUGCGCGUGUCACGCUGGUUGCCUGCCGCGCCGCAACGCUUCAAGCAACUAUUUCGCGUCAGAUGCGUUGCACAGUAUCCUACAAGAUUGAAGGCACACAAAAUAACUAGUUAAGGAGGACUUUCAAUUUUGACUGCAUCUGUUACUGAAAAAUGUUUAAUUUGGCAUUGGAGCGUUUCCUAGGCUCCCGCUUUGGUUUUCAUCUUAUCAUAUCCGUACAGUGUACUGUACCAUGAACAUAUGCUUUUAUCUGCUCUUAGAGUCAGUUUUCUUUCUUGACUUGAUUCAUGAAUGAAAUAUUUUUAAGAAUGAAAGGUAGUAGUAGUAUGCACUUAUUUUUGAGGUGGUUCCUGUCAUUUAAAUGAGAAGAAAAAAAAUGUGGACAUAACAUGUCCACAAUUGGACAAUUUUGGGCAUAUUCGUGGUUGGCAAUUAAAUCAUUAGGACUUAAUAAAGACUGGGCUUAACGUUUAGUGGACAUUAAUAGCGGUGGACAUUUAUUGAAUGAACGAAAGGUAUGUGGACAUAAAGUCCUGGAAGCGUUUAAAAUAUCGGAGAUUUCCACAACCAAGUUACAAUUAAAAUAUGAAAGUUCGUAAAAUAUGUAGUGUGUAUAGUAGUUUUAGUUUUUCCCAUAGUGUUAGCAACCAGAGAUAACUAAUGAUGACGGUGCCUUUAUAUUUCAACUUAUUACAUGAUUUUUCAUUCCAUAAUAUGCGCUCUACUGUCUCAUUUAAAACACUGAUACGAUAUUUUUUAAAAAAUAAUUUGAAAAUUUGAGAGAUGUUCAUUUUCAAGCAAAAUUUUCACGAUUAAGCAUAA
rnacentral:lncRNA from 1 species